GCGCCCGUAGCUAAGUCGAUAGAGCGGUGGAACGGUGAUCCACAGUCCCGGGUUCAAGUCCCGGCGGUCACU